rnacentral:rRNA from 1 species
AUUGAACGCUGGCGGCAUGCCUUACACAUGCAAGUCGAACGGCAGCACGGGGGCUUGCACCUGGUGGCGAGUGGCGCACGGGUGAGUAAUACAUCGGAACAUGUCCUGUAGUGGGGGAAAGCCCGGCGAAAGCCGGAUUAAUACCGCAUACGAUCUACGGAAGAAAGCGGGGGCUCUUCGCGCCUCGCGCUCAGGGGAUGGCCGAUGGCUGAUUAGCUAGUUGGUGGGGUAAAGGCCUACCAAGGCGACGAUCAGUAGCUGGUCUGAGAGGACGAUCAGCCACACUGGAACUGAGACACGGCCCAGACUCCUACGGGAGGCAGCAGUGGGGAAUUUUGGACAAUGGGCGAAAGCCUGAUCCAGCAAUGCCGCGUGUGUGAAGAAGGCCUUCGGGUUGUAAAGCACUUUUGUCCGGGAAGAAAUCCUUGGCCCUAAUACGGUCGGGGGUUGACGGUACCGGAAGAAUAAGCACCGGCUAACUACGUG